rnacentral:lncRNA from 1 species
UCAGUUCAGCUAGAGAAAGAGAGGGAGUGAGUGAGGGAAAGAAAGAAAAAGAAAGAAAGAGUGAGUGGAAUAAUGGUGAGCGACGAGGGGAAUUUCAGAGCUUGGAAACUAUUUUCUUCCACCGAAACAGAGAAAAGCUCACGGGCAUGCGGAGGACCGCAGCACCCAGUCAGUCACUGCAGCCAGCUCGUGUCCGAUCGCAGUAAAUGUGGAAAGGAUGCUGAAUUAAAGACGACG